CCGACACCCAAUCAGAGAGAAACCGAUCUGGGGAGGGCCGGGCGCCAACGGCCGGGCCCAGAAUAGUGCGGUGCGGCCAGUGUUGCGCACUUGCUCUCCAGACGGUCGGGGUUGGCCACAUGGAGCACGCACUGCGCCGGAACCCAUCCUGGAGCCACCUUGGGGGACCCGAGCAUCAAGAGAUGAGCUUCCUAGAACAAGGAGGGAACACUUCAUGGCCAUCGCCGGCCAUGACCACUGGCUCAGAGAGAAGCCAUGGGAAAGAGGGGGCCAAGGCCUCGAGAUGGACAAGGCAGGAGACUGUGGAGGAAGGGGAGCUGCCGGGUCUGGGGGAAGAUCCAACAGAUUCCCAGGCCAGGCCACCUGCUGAGUACACCGGGCUGGAGGCCACAUUCCCCAAGGCCACACACUUGUCCCAAGAUGCUCCUUUGGCCCGGCUGGGCUCCCCACCCGCAGAGUGGGACAUCUUCCCCCAUGAUGAUGCAGCCUCAGCGGUAGGCUCCAGCACAGAUGAUCUGGAGCUGGACAUAGAGUUCUCAGCCACUGCGGGCUGGGGGUAUGAGCUUGGCCUGGUGGAAGAGAGACCUUCCCUGUGUCCCUCCCCGCGGGCACUGUUUCCCAGGCCAGGCUGGGACGAUGAGCUGCAGAAGCCGGGGGCCCAGGUCUACAUGCACUUCAUGCAGGAGCACACCUGCUAUGAUGCCAUGGCGACCAGCUCCAAGAUGGUCAUCUUCGACACCAAGCUGGAGAUCAAGAAGGCCUUCUUCGCCCUCGUGGCCAACGGCAUUCGGGCGGCACCUCUGUGGGACAGCAAGAAGCAGAGUUUUGUGGGGAUGCUGACCAUCACGGAUUUCAUCUCAGUGCUGCACCGCUAUUACAGGUCCCCGCUGGUCCAGAUCAGUGAGAUUGAAGAACAUAAGAUUGAGACCUGGAGAGAGAUCUACCUUCAAGCCUGCUUCAAGCCUCUGGUCUCCAUCUCUCCCAACAGAAGCCUGUUUGAAGCUGUCUACACCCUCAUCAAGAACCGGAUCCACCGUCUGCCGGUCCUGGACCCGGUCUCAGGCGCCAUGCUCCACAUCCUCACACACAAGAGGCUGCUCAAGUUCCUGCACAUCUUUGGCACCCUGCUGCCCCAGCCCUCCUUCCUCUCCCGCGCCAUCCAAGAUCUGGGCAUCGGUACAUUCCGGGACUUGGCCGUGGUGCUGGACACAGCGCCCAUCCUGACGGCACUGGACAUCUUUGUGGACCGGCGCGUGUCUGCGCUGCCCGUGGUCAAUGAAGCUGUUGAUUUGGACAAACCAGGAUCCAGUUAAGGACAGGUCGUGGGCCUCUACUCCCGCUUUGAUGUGAUUCACCUGGCUGCCCAGCAAACCUACAACCACCUAGACAUCAGUGUGGCAGAAGCCCUGAAGCAGAGGACACUGUGUCUGGAGGGAGUCCUUUCCUGCCAGCCCCACGAGAGCUUGGGGGAAGUCAUCGACCGGAUUGUCCGGGAGCAGGUACACCGGCUGGUGCUAGUGGACGAGAGCCAGCAUCUCCUGGGCAUCGUGUCGCUCUCCGACAUCCUGCAUGCGCUGGUGCUCAGCCCUUCGGGCAUUGACGCCCUCAGUGCCUGAGAACAUCCGAGUCCUCCCUCCCAGGCCACCUUUCACAUGCCAAAGCCAAUGAGGGGAGCCAGGGGACCCGGCCUUCGUCUUCCCUCACCCCCAUUUGCUGGUUUGGCUCUGGUACAGGUAGGCUCUGCCCUCGGCCAUUGAUCUUUUGGGGCUCUCAGAUCUCAGACCGGGGCACCUCGAGGUUGGGAGUGGCCCAGCUCAUUGCUGAGGAGCCCCAUGAAAACUCCAAGUGUCAGGACUCACUGUGGGGCCCCCACUUUGUCCCGGUCUCAGCUGAGGUCAUGGUGGUCCUCAUAAGAGGGAUGGGCAGGGGCUGGGGUAAAGGCAAGGGCAGUGAUGUGAUUUCAGAUGCUCUGGGGAGACUGACCUGCCCUCUCACGACUCAAUUCCCGCCGGCUCGGAAUUCCACCGGAAGGAAGCAAGUUAAUAAACCUUUGUUGAAUGGAAUUUCCAUGCUCAGUAAAAACUACGGCCGAAAGGAGGGAGCUUCUAAGUACUCAUCUCAGUAAAUCUGACACCGUCUCAGACUCUUGGCUGGUAGCAUGCUCGCUAGGGGCUCGCACAGAUUCCACCUGCUUGGCGGAGCAUGGCAAGACGAGGUUCCCCGGAUUGGAAAGGCAAUCUCCCCCCACAGUGUAGUCACUGUCUUCCCUUCUCUUUUCCCUGCAGGCUUCUCCAGCCUUCCCUAAUUGCCCCUGCCUUGCCCAUGCUCCCAGAAGCCCUUACGAAUGCCCAGUGCACCGUGGGAUGGUGAAAUGAAGGAGAACGGCUGAGUCAAGCCUAGAGAUCUGUGAACCAGAAGCACUGGGAUUACCCCAGGGCUGGUGGCUCCGGACCCACCCAUGUCACUUUCCCCCCACCUGGUGGGGUGACCAGCCCCAGCAGGGCAGGAAGGCCUCGGCCGGUGGGGCUCGUCAGGAGCUCUGGAUUCCUCAGCUUCUGGACUACCUGGGAGUCCCAGCUGUUCCUCCACAACCACUAAGGUGGUUCCGCACCACUGUGCCCCUCCUCCUCCUCCUCCCAACAUUGUCAUUUCAGGGCUGCUGGUGGUCGCCGUGGAAUAGCAGCUCUGGGUGGAGUCUGUUGAGUGGGGUCCUCCCUCCGUUCUCAUCCUGAGCACCAGCAAACAUUGUUCUCAUUCCCCAGGGACAGCCUGGGUUUGGAUCACUGUGGAUGAACCGUUGAGAAAACACCAAAAAGAAAAAACCACGAAUGAACUUGAAUUGUGGAAGUUUAACUCCGAAAAUGCCAGUCAUUUGACCUGAACCUGUGGCAAGACCCCUGUGCUUUCUGAACUCAAAGACACGAGGGAAGGUCUGUGAUGGACAAACACUACGACUGGCAUUUCUUUGGUGCAUAGAGCAUUACCCCACCGAAAUUUCUUUUUUCAUCUUUCAUUUAUAACAAAACUACAAAGAAGAUAUGAAUUAGUUAAUUACGUAGUAAAUACAACUCAGUCGACAAAC